GGCAGGUGUGCGGCCUGGGUGCAAACACACGUGUGUGCAUGCAGCCAGGGUACACACAUGCGUGCACGCACAUGAGCUGGGUGCAAACAUACAUGCACGCAUGAGCUGGGGUUUAAACAUGCGCACGCGCAUGCAUGCAGCCUGGGUGCAAACAUAUGUGCGCAUGCAUGGCCCAGGUGCUAACACAUAGGCAUGCACACAAGCUAGGUGCAAGCACGCAUGCACACGCAUGGCCCAAGUGCAAACACACCUGCAUAUGCAUGGCCCAGGUACAAACAUGUACAGGUGCGUGGCCCAGGUGAAAACAUGCAUGCACACACCUGGCCCAGGUGCAGACACAUGUGCAGGCAUGCAUACAGCCCUGGUGCAAACACGUGUGCAGGCAUGCAGUCUAGGUGCAAAUAUGCGUGCAUGCACAUGGUCCAGGUGCAAAUACGCAUACAUACAGGCAGCCCAGGUGCAAACACGUGCAGGUACAUGGCCUGGCUGCAAACAUGCAUGCACACGCAUGGCCCAUGUGCAAACAUGCAUGCACACACAUGGCCCAGGUGUGGGCGCGCAUGCAUCCACGCACCCCAGGUGCAAACACACAUGCAUCUGUGUGACCUGGAUGCAAAUGCACAUGCAUGCAUGCAUACAUAUGGCCCAGCUGCAAACACUCGUGCAGGUGCAUGGCCUGGCUGCAAACAUGCAUGCACGCAGAGGGCCCAGGUGCAAGCAUGCGCACACAUGCACGGCCCAGGUGCAAAGUGCACAUGCACUUGUGCAGCCUGGGUGGGAGCACACAUGCAUGCACGCACAUGGCCCAGGUGCAGACAUGCACGCAGCCCAGGUGCAAACACGUGUGAAUGCAUGUGCUCCAGGUGCGAACAGGCAUGCACUCAUGCAGCCUGGCUGCAAACAAGCAGGCAGGUGCAUGGCCCAGGUGCAAGCAUGCAUGCACAUACACAGCCUGGGUGCAAGCACGUGUGUGGGGGAACCCGCCACCGGGACGGGAGCAGAGACAUUUCCCAGAGGGAAGCAAAUCCUUCUGGCAGCUCGGAGCGGCCGGAGAGCCCUGAGAAUGCUGCCGGCACGGAGCCUCCCGCGGCGGCGCCGGCGCUUCCGAGACCUCGGCCCGAGAUCGAUGCAACGCCGGGAGCUGCCUGCAAACCGCUGCGCCAGCCCCAGAGGCACCCGGCUCCAUUAGCUCCACACUUAAUUAGCUCCGUGUUUAAUUAGCCCAUCCCUGAAGCAGCUCAUUCCAAGCGUGUCUUUGCAGCAGGGCCCCAGGGGCCNNNNNNNNNNNNNNNNNNNNNNNNNNN
rnacentral:lncRNA from 1 species